rnacentral:rRNA from 1 species
CGGCGGACGGGUGAGUAACGCGUGGGUAACCUACCCUGUACGCACGGAUAACAUACCGAAAGGUAUGCUAAUACGGGAUAAUAUAUUUGAGAGGCAUCUCUUGAAUAUCAAAGGUGAGCCAGUACAGGAUGGACCCGCGUCUGAUUAGCUAGUUGGUAAGGUAACGGCUUACCAAGGCGACGAUCAGUAGCCGACCUGAGAGGGUGAUCGGCCACAUUGGAACUGAGACACGGUCCAA